rnacentral:rRNA from 1 species
AUACGGAGGGUGCAAGCGUUAAUCGGAAUUACUGGGCGUAAAGCGCUCGUAGGCGGUUUGUUAAGUCGGAUGUGAAAGCCCCGGGCUCAACCUGGGAACUGCAUUCGAUACUGGCAAGCUAGAGUAUAGUAGAGGCAAGUGGAAUUCCGGGUGUAGCGGUGAAAUGCGUAGAUAUCCGGAGGAACAUCAGUGGCGAAGGCGACUUGCUGGACUAAUACUGACGCUGAGGAGCGAAAGCGUGGGGAGCAAACAGGAUUAGAAACCCCAGUAGUCC